AUUUUGUUGCAGACCACAAUGCACCGCGCUCGGCGUCGGUUGCCCGGGCGAUGCGCCGCACGCGUGCAGGCCCACACACCCUGAAGGCGGAGCCCGGGUGGGGAGGCUGGUUCCCGGACCACCCAGCUGCCUGGAAGGGGGCGAGGGCGGGCCUACCGGAGCCCACCGAGGUUAGCCCAGGGAAUGUUCUAGUAGCCGCAGUUUCCAGAAGACGGGGAGUCGCCGCCCACUUCCACCCCCACCCGGGGUCAGCACACUUUUGACAAGUGGCCUCUGGCCUCGAAAGGUUCUGCAAAGCACGGGCGGGCCACCGAUUCAGUUGCCCUAAGGGUCGUAGGGCUUGGUUUCAAGCUCUGCUGUCUCAUUCCUGACCUUUGUGCGUGCGUGCAUGCGUGUCUGAGGAGGCCUUGGGCGUGAGAGGCAAGUGCGAUGACCCUGUUUUCGUUAUUUUUGGUUUUUGUGUUCGUGUCCUCCCCACCUCACCCUAGCAGGGUCUCCCUAGGUAGCUCAGGCCGGCCUGAAAUUCGCAGUUCUCCUGGCUUGGCCUCCCCGCGCUCCAUCACCAUCCAGGGUAAAUUCCUAAUUUUAUAACCUGGCACUACAUGUUUAUUUCAUACUGUAGUCCCUAUGUAGCUGGUCCUGCCCUAGAAAACUGUAUGCAUGGUGGUAGCCUCAGGAUUGAAGGAGAGUUUCGGCACAGGAAUCAUCCCCAGGAGGUCGAGUCUGUCUGCCAGGCAGUGCAGACUUCAGGAGUUUGAAUGUGGGUGGGUGUAGGGUGUGUACAGGUGAGGCUUCCUGCUCAGGUAGGUUGUCCAUUUGGGGGAAAAUGGACAAAAAAAAGUGAUCCUCAAAGGUGUCUUCUGUGGCAUAGGUACAUUGAUGACUAGUGAGUGGUACCUAAAUAAGUCACUUGAUAAAUAAAUAAAUAAGGUCCCUAUAAUAGGCUGAUGGCAGAGCUCGUACCUAACAUGCAUCGUAUCCUGAGUUUGAUACCCAGUGCCUCAAAAACAAAACAAAACAAAAAGGUAGUCAAAAACAAGGUGGUAGGGAGCGGAGUUGAAUCCCAGCACUGUUGGAACCUGGCUUGUUUCUUUCUAUUUGUAGUGGGGGACUAAAUAUAAAAGGAAAUCGCUUGGUAGGUGUGUGGGAGCACUAGAUGUUCUUGCAGAUUCUCAGCACAGUCACGGACGGCUUAGAGUGCUGAAUGAAUCCUACCAAUCACUAGCGUGGAGCCAUCAAACCUUCAAUACCUGUGAAUACAUUUUUGAAACUCCAUAAAUGAUUUUUGGGUUGUAUAACUUCAAGUUUCCUGCUUACCUUUGUGCAUUUGUACAGUGUCUGUCAUGUGUGUAGCUCCGGGCCUCAAACCCCAAAGAUCCACUUGACUCUGCCUCCAGAGUGCUGGGAUUAAAGACAGUCGCCACCACACAGGGCUAACCUAGAACCCUUUUACACUAAAUUACCCAGAGGCCCACCCCUCCCAAGAGAAAAUGAUGAGACUAACGAGGACUUCCUCGCUUACAGUGUAAGUGUAUGUCUAUCAGUCAAAGGCUUCUCCCAGCUCCCUCUUUGAUCUUAGCUAAAAGGCCCACGAAGCCAUUCCAGCUCCGUAUUUCCAAUGGCAGGACUGGGGACUUGAGGAAUUAAUAUUGAGAAAGAAGUGGGUUUGUCAAAUGAGACCGGUCGGUGUGUUUACUAGCUUUGGCCUCCCACUCAGAACCGUGGCAUUACUGACAACCCCAGAAUCUGAGCUGCUCGGCUGAUACAUUCAUGUUUUUCUCUGAUCUGUGGCUUGGUCUUGUUUACAUCAAAGAGCUGAGUAUCUAAAGCAAACAAAGUAGGACCGGAGGCGUAGGUGGUGGUAGUGUUUGCCUAGCGCAUGAGCCCUCAUCUUCAGUCUUGAGCACUGCAAAGUAAAUAACAAAAAUAACAGAGAACUGGGCUCUUGCUCAGGCGGCACAGCACUUGCUUAAGUGUGAGUGAGGCCAGAGGCCACAUAAUUGAUCCCUAGCAGGCUAAGGGGAGGGAGUCAGGCACAUGUAAUCUCAGAGCACUUGGGAGAUGGGGCCAGGAGGAUCAGACAUUCAUGGCCAACUUUGGAUGGAUGGUUCCAAGGCCAGCCUGGGCUCCAUGAGACUCUGUCUCAACUCUCCCUAGUCAAAUAAAGAAGAGGAGGUAGGAAUAGCAGCAGCAGUGAGUGGGUGCUGAUCACCAAGUUCAGCACUUACAGUCACUGUCUUAGUACCCCUCAUAACUGCUGUGUCUGAGACCCUUUUCCUUUCUCUCUCUUUAAUGCUUAUGGGUGUUUUGGUUGUUGGUGUAUCUGUGCACCACAUUUGUGCCUGAUGCCCACCGAGGCUAGAAGAGGGCAUUGGAUCCCCUGGGUCUGAAAUUCAGACACUUGUAAACUGCUGUGUGUGGGGGUGCUGAGAAGUGAACCUGGCUCCUCAGAACAACCAGUGCUCUUAACUGCUGAUCCAUCUUUCCAGCCCCAAGGAGACCCUCUUUAUUUACCGACUUAGCAAAGCUAUGUAGCCGAGGAUGACUUUGAACUCCUGAUCUUCCUGCUCCCACAUCUCAAGUGCUGGGAUUUCAGGCACGUGCCACCGCAGCCAGUUUUAUGGGGUACAAGGAGUUGGACCCAGGGCCUGUGCAUACCAGGCAACUGCUCUGCCAGCCGAGCCAUUUUCCCAGCCCUGUCUCAUUAGAGGACAGCUCCAGUGUGUCCUUCCCCUGAACUCCUCUGCUUGCCUCCAUCACCACCGUGCUCGUAAGUCCGAUAAUGCUUAGAUUUCCUCCAUGAUAUCUGCCUCACGUAUUCCUCCAGCGGGAUUAGCUUGUGCAUUGCCUUUCUGCUCAACGUCUACCUGUUGCUGCCUCUUCUGUCCCCGGUUCCACCUUCUGCAUUCAAGUCACUGUCUGGGCUUAGGGGUGUAGUAGCUCAGUGGUGGAACCCUUACAGGUUUUCCUCGGUACUCAGUAAAUAUGACUGAAAUUUUAAAACCACUAGGUCUUAUGACCCCCCACUACACACACAUAUAUGAGAUCAGGAGAUGUAAGAGGGGCAGCAAGAUGGCUGCAAGUGAAUGAGCUGGCUGUGCAAACUCACAGCCUGAAUUUGAUCUCUAAAUGCGGGACAGGCGGGAAGAGAAAGCCAACUCCAGAAUGUGGUCUUCUGACCUCUACAAGUGAGGCAUGGUGUAUGAGCACUACCCCCACACGCCAAAACAAUACUUUUAGAAAAUUUAGGAGCGGAAGGUAUGAAAUAUGUUGACUUCCUUUUUUAUUGUACUUUUCUUCUUGAGACAGGGUCUAACUGUGGAGCUCCCGGCCUUGAACUUACAGAGAUCCUCCUGCCUCUGCAUCCUGAGCGCUGAGAUUAAAGGCAUGCACCAUCACACCCCACUUUUCUUUUUCUUUAAAGAAGGUCUUCUGAGCGGGCAGUAGUGGCGCACACCUUUAAUCCCAGCACUCGGGAGGCAGAGGCAGGCUGAUCUCUGUGAGUUCAAGGCUAGCCUGGUCUACAAAGUGAGCUCCAGGACAGCCAGAGCUGUUACACAGAGAAACCCUGUCUUGAAAGGAAAUAAAAAAAGUCUUCUUAGUUAAGCUGUGGCUGGCCUGGAGCUGAAGUCCUCCUGCCUUGCCUUCUAAAUGCUGGACUAUAGGCCAAGGCCACCAUGUGUGGCUUGGAAAAUCUAUUUUCUUUUGUGUGUGGCCAAACUUACUCCUUUGAGAUCGGGUCUCUCACUGAACCUGGGGCUCAUUUUUUUUUUCAGCUGUGCUGGAAGCCAGAAAUGCCCUGCAUCCUUCCUGUCUCUGUCCUACUCAUUUUUAGGGUUAUAGGCAUGUAGGACCAUACAUGGCUUUACAUGUGACUGCUGAUUCAGAUUCUGCUCCCCAUGUUUUCGCAGCAAGCUCUCUUAACCAAUGAGCCAUAUCCCUAACCCAGCUCCUUCUUUUUUGAGACUGGGUCUCAACCCAGGCUAACCUCAAACUUGCUAUGUAUCAAAGAUUGUCUUGAAUUUUUGAUCCUCCUGCCCCUGUCUUCCAAGCGCUGGGAUUACAAGCAUGUAUCACUAUGCCCACUCUAUCCAGUGCUGGUAAUCCUGGUGCAUGCUAGGCAAACACUCCACUGACUAAGGGACAUCCCUGCCCCAGUACCAUCUUUUUAAGAAAGAUGUGUACAUGUGUUCGUGUCUGUGUGUACAAGUGGACACGGAGGCCGGAAGAGGGUAUCAGACCCUGGAGCCGGGGUAAUGGGCUGUUAUUAGCCACCCAGUGCAGAUGCUAAGAACUGAACCGGUCCUCUGCAAGAACAGGAGGAGGAGGAGGUAAUGUUGCUUUCUCAGAAUGCUGGCCCAUCACUAAUUCUAAUGAUUUCAAAGAGAGAUCAGUGAUCUGGAUCAUUUCCACAGGAAAGAGCUCCAUUUAUAAAUGUUGUUUACAAUUAUUUAAGCACUGAAUAGUACAGCAUGUGAGUCUCCAAUCCAUAACCUCUUUUGGAGUUUGACACCAAAUCCAGGGCUUAUCCUUAGGUACCAGGAGAUUCAUACUUUCCUGGGAGCAAAUGGACUAUACUACCUGGCACACGAUGUUUACUGAAUGAAUCCUGAAUGAACGAAUGGCCACACCAAUAGCCACAUGAAGAUGGAAUCUCAGACAGAAUCCAGAAGAGGGAGUCGGAACAUCUGGGGCUGGAAUUAUAGGCAUUUGUCAGCUGCCUAAUAUGGGUGCUGGGAACAGAACCCAGGUCCUCUGCCAAAGCAGCAGGGUUUCUCUGUGUGGCAGCCUUGGCUGUCCUGGAUCUCACUUUGUAGACCUGGUCUCAAACUCACAGAGAUCUGCCCGCCUCUGCCUUCCGAGUGCUGGGACUAAAGGCGAGUGACACCUCUUUGUGAUUAUGUCGUCUGAUUGGACAGAGGAAGGCAUGGGACAUUAGUAAAGGACAACUCCGCGUGUGUGAAGGUGUGCCCAGAGAAGAUGAACCCCAAGGACAGAACCCACUCCAUAUGGUUGCUCCACUGCACAGGCCUCAGUGGAAUUUAAAAGGGGGAGACGGGGCUGGGGAUGUACCUUUUUUAGGUGGAACCUGCCUAUCAUGUGAAAGGCCUUGGGUUAACCCCAGUUAAGAGAAAAGAAAGAAAACAAGAAGGCAGGCAGCACCGACAGCGAGCCCCUGCUGCCAGGCACUGUGACGUGGACAGCCAGCCCCGUCUGCCCAGCUUUCCCGGCCACGCUGGACUGAUCGGAACUCACGAGUCAAAAGCCUUUCCAUCUGUGCUCGGUGUGCACAGCUAUAAUCCCAGCACCAGAGAGCCCGAGGCAGAAGGAUUCCCUAAAAUUUGGAGCUAGCCAGAGCUACAUAGCAAGACCCUGUCUCCAAAAGGAGGCGGUGGGUGGCUUGAGAGAGAGCCAGCUCGGCAGGGAAAAGUGCCUGCCACCAGCCUGGUGACCCGAGUUCGAGUCCUGGAACCUAAAUUGCAGAAGCUGACUCCAGUUGUUCUCUGACGUCCAUACAUGAUCUGUGUAACCCCUUCCUCCCAUAAAAAUAAUUUUCUUUUUUUAAAUACUGUCUCACUAUGUAGCCUGGGAUAGUAAUUUAACAGUCACUAUUUUCUUCUAAGCUCUCUUUAUAUUUUAAGAAGUUUAUUUUAAUUUUUUUUAAGUCAGGGUCUUAUGUAGCCGAGGCUGGCCACAAACUUGUGUUUAGGUGCUAGGCUCAUAGGCAGCUGCCAUGCUCAGUUCAUGUGCUGCCGGGAAUUGAACUCAGUGCUUCACGCAUGUUGGAUGAGCAUUCUACCAAUUCACUAUAUCCCCAACCCCAAAUUAUUUCAGUUAUCUACUUUUAAUUUGUGUAUUUCCUUUGUUUGUUUGUUUCUCGAGACAGGAUCUCUCUGUGUAACUGCUGUGGCUGUCCUGGAACUCGCUCUGUAGACCAGGCUGGCCUCUAACUCAAGGAGAUCCGCCUGCCUCUGCCUCCCGAGAGCUGGGAUUAAUGGCGUGUGUAAGCACCGCCUGGUAAUAAUUACAUUUGUGUGUGUGUGUGUGUGUGUGUGUGUGUGUGUGUGUGUGUGUGUGUGUGUGUGUGCAUGGUUGCUGUAAUGUGCAUCGAAGUCAGAGAACUGCUUUCAGGGGUCAGGCGGUUCUCUCCUUCCACCACGUAGGUCUCGGAUGGAACUCCGGUCAUGAGACUUGGCGGCAGGCACCUUUACCCACCGAACCAUCUCGCCCGCUCUGUUUUGUCGGUGAGAAUUUUCAAACCAGGGUAUUGGAAUGCUGAGUGAAUAUUCUGCCACUAAUCUAUCUUCUCAACUCAGUAAAUGUAUCUUUAUUUUUUUUUAAAUUUAGUUAAGUAUGAUGGCACACAGCUUUAAUCCUGGAACUGGGGAGGCAGAGACUGGCAGAUUUCUGUGAUUUCAAGGCUAGCCUGUUCUACAUAGUGAGUUCCA